GAAACGGCAGAAUUUUUGUGUCAAUUGAUGAGACUACGGACAAAGCAGGCAGAUUCGUUUGCAAUGUCAUUGUCGGUCCUUUACGGCAAGGUGGCCGAUGCUUUCUUCUAACAUCGGAAGUAAUACAAACGGUAAACGCUUCGGAAAUUGCUAAACUCUUUGAUGAUGCCUUAAAAAUUCUAUGGCCAGAAGAAGUAAAACGGGAUAAAGUACUGAUAUUUGUUACAGACGCUGCACCAUAUAUGAAACAAAGCGUAGUUGGGAUUCAAGUCUUUUAUCCACGAAUGAUUCAUAUUACAUGUGUUGCGCACGGAGUUCACAGAGUAUGUGAAAAACUGCGAAGCCAGUAUGCAGAAGUUGAUUCCUUAGUUGCAAAUAUGAAGAAACUAUUUUCAAAAAGUCCAACAAGAAUUCGAUUCUUUCAAGAAAAGCAACCAGAUCUACCUCUACCACCUCAACCAGUCUUGACACGCUGGGGAACUUGGUUGGAGGCAAUAUCAUAUAUGCCAAAAAUUUUAACGGAAUCAAAGAUAUUGUUGAUGGUCUCAAUGACGAUGCGGCUUGCGUUAUUUUUGCAAAGAAAUUGUUUGCAAACAAGGGAAUUCGAGAGGACUUGGCUUAUAUUCAGGCUAACUUUGGGUUUAUAGUAGGCGAGAGAAAUUCAUUCAAAAUUCUUCAGAAAAGAGGCGAGCCAAUAAAUAAUGUAUUGGAUGCACUGCAGAAUGUAGAAAACAAUUUAAAACAGGCCAGAGGGCCAGUACCUACAACAAUAU